AAUCUCAAGGUUAUCUCAACACUAUGAAAACGCCCUUGGAUGGUGUGACCCUGCCACUAUAUUUGCCUAAUGUCAUCGGAGAUUCAACAGGAGUGGUACUAGCCACCUUUCUCGCAAUCAGCGCUCAUUUACAAAGGCUGCUGCCAUCUGUGGUGUCAGGCCCUUCUCCAACCUUAAUGAUAGUCUCUGUGAAAUUGAUAAGUCUGGGGAGUCGGGGGGAGUCUGGGGAGUCGGUUUGUGCCACACAGGAGCAGAAAUACAGGUGUUCCAAACAGGCUAAUUUCAUCCCGUAAUGAGAGCUCAGGUUAGGCAGUAAUGGGCAAUGAUAGUACCAGCUUUAGAUGUAAUGGUGGUGAUGGGAUGUUGAAGAUGAUGAUGAGGAGGAGGAUUUAAGUGAUUGGGCCUAAGAGAGACUUGUCGAGGGUUUUUCUCUUUCGAUGAAAUUACAAAGAGCUGCCACAUGCUUCAGCUUUAACAGAGUGAGGGCACUUGAUUAGAAGGGAAUUUCACUGAGGGAAUUUACAAUUAGGCGUUUAGUGGAAUCAAACAUCUCGUACAACAAUUUAAAUGACAGCAGUGUCACUUCAUAAUUUCUUUAAAUGGGUUUUGUUCAAAUAGGUUGCCAAUACAUGAUUCUGUCAGAAUAAGGAAAACAUUGCUGGGCCGAAAACUGGAGUCUGUGAGGGUAAAUGCAGGCAGCAUACCAAUACCAUUUGAAAGAAAGAUAUUCAUUAAUUUAUAAGGGAAAGGGAGAUGUGAAUAAUAACUCACAUUAAUCUACAGCACACGCAGAACACAAAACGGAAUGUCCUUGGAUACAUUUUCUUAAAAAAUGCUCUUAGGUCAAGUGUGUGCGUUUGUCUUUAUAUAUAUAUAUAUAUACUGUAUGUGGAGAACAGGUACACACACAGUAUGUCUUUAGGUAUAUACUGUAUGUAGAGAACAGGUACACACACAGUAUGUCUUUAGGUAUAUACUGUAUGUGGAGAACAGGUACACACACAGUAUGUCUUUAGGUAUAUACUGUAUGUGGAGAACAGGUACACACACAGUAUGUCUUUAGGUAUAUACUGUAUGUAGAGAACAGGUACACACACAGUAUGUCUUUAGGUAUAUACUGUAUGUGGAGAACAGGUACACACACAGUAUGUCUUUAGGUAUAUACUGUAUGUGGAGAACAGGUACACACACAGUAUGUCUUUAGGUAUAUACUGUAUGUGGAGAACAGGUACACACACAGUAUGUCUUUAGGUAUAUACUGUAUGUGGAGAACAGGUACACACACAGUAUGUCUUUAGGUAUAUACUGUAUGUAGAGAACAGGUACACACACAGUAUGUCUUUAGGUAUAUACUGUAUGUGGAGAACAGGUACACACACAGUAUGUCUUUAGGUAUAUACUGUAUGUGGAGAACAGGUACACACACAGUAUGUCUUUAGGUAUAUACUGUAUGUAGAGAACAGGUACACACACAGUAUGUCUUUAGGUAUAUACUGUAUGUGGAGAACAGGUACACACACAGUAUGUCUUUAGGUAUAUACUGUAUGUGGAGAACAGGUACACACACAGUAUGUCUUUAGGUAUAUACUGUAUGUGGAGAACAGGUACACACACAGUAUGUCUUUAGGUAUAUACUGUAUGUGGA